GCCUCCAUGUCCUGCCCCUUCCCCCUGCACCAACUUCCCAGCUUCCAUUGGCCAGGAAUUGUGGCCAAUGGAAGCUGUGGGGGUGGUGCCUGUGAUCAGGAGCACCCAGAGAGUCCCUGGGCCCCCUGCCUAGGAGCCACUGCCAGAGGGGUGUGCCAGUUGCUUUCAGGAGCCAACCGAGGAGCUGUACAAGAGAAUUAAUGCAGCUUCAAGACUGAGGCGUUCUAUAUAAGAAAAGGGAAAACAGUCUCCUGCUUAAGCACAGGACUGGGAGAUCUCAGUGUGAACCUGGGUUUGCAGAACCACCCAGGAGACAAUGGCAGCUUGCAAAUGCUGGAACAGUUCUGAGGCUGAAGGGGUUCCCUGCCCACCACCCCCAAUCAGGAGAG